UUGGAGUCUGGAAUACAAUGAGUGUACACU
rnacentral:piRNA from 1 species